UACAGAGGUCUCAAGCGUUGUUCGGAUUCAUUGGGCGUAAAGGGUGCGUAGGCGGCGCGGUAAGUCGGGUGUGAAAUCUCGGGGCUUAACUCCGAAACUGCAUUCGAUACUGCCGUGCUUGAGGACUGGAGAGGAGACUGGAAUUCUCGGUGUAGCGGUGAAAUGCGUAGAUAUCGAGAGGAACACCUGCGGCGAAGGCGGGUUGCUGGGCUGACACUGACGCUGAAGCGCGAAAGCUAGGGGAGCGAACGGG
rnacentral:rRNA from 1 species